GACAGAGGCCCCAAGCGUUAGGCGGAAUCACUGGGCUUAAAGCGUGUGUAGGCGGAUCGUUAAGUGUCUUGUGGAAUCCCACGGCUCACCCGUGGAACUGCUGGGCAUACUGGCGAUCUUGGGCCAACUAGGGGCAGCCGGAACAAGCGGUGGAGCGGUGAAAUGCGUAGAUAUCGUUUGGAACGCCAAUGGUGAAAACAAGUAGCUGGGGAUGUGCCGACGCUGAGACACGAAAGCCAGGGGAGCGAACGGG
rnacentral:rRNA from 1 species